rnacentral:rRNA from 1 species
AGCGAACGUUAGCGGCGGGCCUAACACAUGCAAGUCGAACGCGAAAGGUCUUCGGACUGAGUAGAGUGGCGCACGGGUGAGUAACACGUAGGUAAUCUACCCUUUGGCGGGGGAUAACGUUCCGAAAGGAGCGCUAAUACCGCAUAAGACCACGUGGUCUCCGGACCGAGUGGGAAAAGGUGGCCUCUUCUUGAAAGCUACCACCGAAGGAUGAGCCUGCGUCCCAUCAGCUAGUUGGUAAGGUAAUGGCUUACCAAGGCAAAGACGGGUAGCUGGUUUGAGAGAAUGAUCAGCCACACUGGCACUGGAACACGGGCCAGACUCCUACGGGAGGCAGCAGUGAGGAAUAUUGGGCAAUGGGCGAAAGCCUGACCCAGCCACGCCGCGUGAGUGAUGAAGGCCCUCGGGUCGUAAAGCUCUGUGGAGAGGGACGAAAACCCUGGUUUCAAAUAGGCUCCAGGCUUGACGGUACCUCCUUAGCAAGCACCGGCUAACUCUGUGCCAGCAGCCG